rnacentral:lncRNA from 10 species
UGGAUGUCUUAAUUAACAAUGUCAAAUUAGUUGGAUGACUUUUUAGUGCUUUCUUCAUGUUUUAUGUUUACUAUAAUGAGACCACUUGGUGUACAAAGGAAGGCUGCAUACAAGCACUUAAGACUCUUCAGGGGAUAUGACACAUCAGAGAAACUAUUAUGACGGCUAUCAGGAGGACAAUAUCACAAAACGGAAGUGUAUUCCUUAACAGAACUAUCUGCAAACCAAACUGACCAAAAUCAAACAGUUCAAAAUUCAGGCAACAAAAAUAGUUCAGUAGUCCAAUGAGUCAUAGUCUUUGGUAUGAUGGCAAUUAAGGACCAUAGUUUGUAGUAAAAUGGCCUUACAUAUUCAUUUUUGUAUUUAGCAUGGUAAUACAAGUCAUAGUAAUCUAGAAACUCACUACAAAUAGAUAAAUAAAUAAAUAAGUAAAUAAACAAAUAAAGAUUAGAAAACCUUGGGUGGGUUGUAGGGGAGAGAAAACCUUGGAAUAGUCAAGCAAGCUUGCCAUCCACCAUUUAGGAUGCCUUCAAACCAACUAUUAGCUGCUCUCAUAAAUACAUUAUAUGUUUCUUCUUUCUGAGAAAUUUUCUUUAAUGUAUUUAAUGGCAGUGCCUAGAGAACUAGGAGUAACAGCCACCUUUCUAAUUAAGCCUUCUGUGGUAAUAAAAUCAGGGGAAAGGUAAGUGCAACAUUUCAUUUUCUUCAGCACCACACCACACGAGACCCCAACAUGGGAACAGUGGCACUCUAAAGCAUUACGUGUUUUUGUUGAACAUAAAUAUUCUCAACCACAUUUUGGAGAGUGGUUUCUAUCCAUCUGAGCCCCUGGAAGGUCUGAUUAACUACAAAAAUCCAAUACUUUUCCCAUUUUACAAAUUAGCUUUAAAUUUCCUACAACAAGCACCUCACUACCACUAAACUGGGUUCCCAAGAACGCCACUAGAACUUUUCUUCAGUGGAAGCUAAUAUAUCUUCAUCUGUUUUGAGGUUGGUACUAAUUUCAGUCAAUGACCACUUUGCCCUCUGAUUAUGAGAGGUCUUAUUGGGAAUUUUCAGUGAAAGCUAUUCAGAAGGCAGGACUGAGCCAGGCCAAAUAGUAAAAUCUGUAUGAAGAAGGAGGUAGAAGAGAGUAGAAAUUUCUCUACAGACUCCAUAUUGGACCUCAGAUAUGGAAAAGAAGGCUAUCAAAUGGUGUUUGAGCAGGAGCCAGUUAAAUUUGUUUGCCUAUAAGUCUGCAUAGCUCUUAAGAAAGGUCCAGGGAAAGAUUUACUUUUUUUGUGGUCCUUUUAUAAAGCAUGCUGUGAAGGUUCAUAACCACAUUUAGUGGAAAGGGAGCUUACUGUAUUUAAUAGAGUAACAUCAUACAAACACGUAUUCUAGCCACUUAAGUAGUACCAAGGCCUUGAGUGAACAAUGCCUGGAAGUACAAUAUACCUCUUACAGGCAUCACACUUAGAUAGAUUUUCUAUAUUUGGUAACAAUUAAGUUAUUGAUUGGAAAAGUCAGGGUAUUAUUUCCAUUACCUAUAGGAAAGCAAAUAGUAGUGAUGUCUAGAAUAUCAAGAAUCACUUUCCAUUCUUCUUUUUGGUUUCAGGAUGACUCAUAUUAGGAACACAGAGACACACUGGCAUUAGUGGAGUUGUUUUCUGAUUUCUGAGCAAUAGUUCUUAAGCCUAAUAAUUUCUCUGGGUUCUUGCUAGAGCAUAAGCCUUUGCUACAGCAAUCUGCAAAUUAUUUUCCCAUGGAUUUUUUGUAAGAAAAGGGAAAGGACUCUGUAUUAAUUCAUUUUCACGCUGCAGAUAAUGACAUACCCAAGACUGGGCAAUUUACAAAGAAAGAUUUAAUUGGACUUACAGUUCCAUGUGGCUGGGGAAGGCUCACAAUCAUGACAGAAGGCAAGGAGGAGCAAGUCCCAUCUUACAUGGAUGACAGCAGGCACAGAGAGAAGGAGGAAGAUGCAAAAACAGAAACUCCUGAUAAAACCGUCAGAGCUCAUGAGAUUUACUCACUGGCGUGAGAGCAGUAUGAGGGAAAUCAGCCCCAGGAUUCAAUUAUCUCCUGCUGGGUCUCUCCCAUAACACAUAGGAAUCAUGAGAGCACAAUUCAAGAUGAGAUUAGGGUGGGGACACAGAACCAAACCAUAUUAUUGCACGCCUAGCCCCUGCCAAAUCUCAUGUCCUCACAUUUCAAAACCAAAUAUGCCUUCCAAACAGUCCCCCAAAGUCUUAACUCAUUUCAACAUUAACUUAAAAGUCCACAGUCUAUCAAGAUGAGAUUUGGGUGGGGACAAAGCGCCAAAUUAUAUCAGACUCAAACAACAAAAAAUAAAGGAAAAGUAAAUAAAAAAAAGGUAAGGCUUUCAUGACAACAAAGCAGCUUUGAUAUACAAUCUUGGGAAAGCUGUUCACAUCUUGAAUGCCGUCUGCUUCUGGGGAAAAUUUCCUUGGUCAGCUUUAUCUUAAGAUCUCUAACAGGCAUAGAGUUUCAGGAGUCUGGAGUGGCCCUUUAGAGUUGAAAGAUAUGGAUCCAAGACUUGAUGCCCUGAAGUUUUGCUGCAGAGAAGAAUUUGUUAUGGUCCCUUCCAGUGGAAUUCAAAGGCUGUCUUUCCCUGGUGUGCUUUUUCCAAAAGAUGCAGUCUCCAGGUUCUAGAUCAUGAAAGAUCUGGUUGUCAUCAAUUGGUUUUGGUAUCAGGGUGAUGCUGGCCUCAUAGAAUGAGUUAGGGAGGAGUCCCUCCUUUUCAGUUAUUUGGAAUAGUUUCAGAAACAAUGGUACCAGCUCCUCGUUGUACCUCUAAUAGAAUUUUGCUGUGAAUCCAUCUCGUCCUGGGCUUCUUUUGAUUGGCAAAAUUGUUGAGCCAAGGUCCUGGAACUGUGAGUAAGAAAAUGACAAACCCAUCUCUCAGUGGCACCCCUACUGCAGGAGUUGAGCACUCAUUAGAGAAGGUCAGUAACCUGAGAUCCUCUUGACUUAUCUUUCCUGGAGCAGAACCACUGCACUGCAAGCCAGGGUAAGCAAUAGGCUCCCCCACAUUUAUAGCACACCACACCCAAGGCAGAGUCCCCGUUUUAUGAGUGGAUGAGAAGAACAGAAACACCACUUAUCAACUUCAUUUGCCUGGGACUUAGCCUCAGCAAGAGUAGCUGAGGGCAGGAUAAGUAACAUUGAAGUUCUACUCUUUCUAGUAAGAAAGCCCUGCAACUGGGAGCUGAGAGAAAGCCCUGUGUUCUUGGUUGAAAAAAAAUCUCAAAAGGAGUCUCUAUUUCACUGAGCUGGGUUAAGGGAAGAAGGGAGUAGUCUUAGUUCAAAUAUCACAAACCCUCACUUUCUUAACAAAUUUCCAUUUAUAUUCAUAAGUAGAUAUUUAUUCAUUUGCUUUUUUUCCCCUUAGGGAUGUCUCCUUUAGGGUUGUUUCCAGAGACUUUGAAUGUUUGUUGUUGCUUUUAUUACAAGUUUUACUCAGGAGCAGGUUAAUGAAAUUUCUCCUACUGUCAUGAUGAUCAAUCUUUUCUGGUGCUUCUAUUCUUUACAUACAGGAGACUGGGUUGUCAGGUGUUUUCCGUUUUACAUGAAGGAAUUGUGUGUUGAGUUUUUAGCAUGAGGUCCAGUAAAAUCACUCGGAAAGUCCAGCGGGAUUCUCUCUAGACACUGGCAAAUAAGAAUAUGUCUCUUUGGGCUGGGCACAGUGGCUCAUGCCUGUAAUCCCAGCACUUUGGGAGGCCAAGGCGGGUGGAUCAUGAGGUCAGGAGAUUGAGACCGUCCCGGCUCUCAUGGUGAAACCCCAUCUUUACUAAAAAUACAAAAGAAUUAGCCAGGUGUGGUGGCGGGCGCCUGUAGUCCCAGCUACUUGGGAGGCUGAGGCAGGAGAAUGGUGUGAACCCGGGGGGCGGAGCUUGCAGUGAGCUGAGAUUGUGCCACUGCACUCCAGCCUGGGGGACAGAGCAAGACUCCAUCUCAAAAAAGAAAAAAAAGUCUCUUUGAAAGUAGAUAAUUAAUAUCAUCCUUCCUUAAAUACAGUACAUUCCCUUAAAAAUGGCUUAAAGAAAAUAAAGUGCUAAUGAACCAUUGAAUUUAACAAAAUAUACACAUUUUAUGUGUGUAAGUGUAUAUGUAUAUAUAUAUUUCAUAGAUACUCAUGUAUAUGUGCAUAUAUAUAUGUGUGUGUUUAUAUAUAAAUUAAGGGAUCAGAAAGGAGAAAGUCUAGAAAACAUUCAUUGCGUCUCUCAAAUUUAUCUUUUUUUUUUGGUGUCUCCAAAUUUAAACUCAAGCAAAUUUUAUGCUAAAGUUUAAACUCUAAAAUUUCACCAAGCUAUAUAAUUUGGAUAUUAGAAAUAAGCAAAUCAUAUUUUUACAAAUUUAAGUAAUUUUACAAUUAUGUAUCUUGGUAAGAUAGAGAUGACCUUGAAUUGAAGGUAAGAGCACAUUGCUUUAUUGCUAGGACUGUGAGCAAUAGCCUAUGUUAAUUUAAGCAAGUUUCUUAAUAUUUAUGUUUCCCUAUGUGCAAAAUUGGAUUAAUUAAAUCUGAAUUACAUAUCAUACAGAGGUAGGAUUAAAAGCAAUAAUGUGAACAUAUUAUUUAAAGGCAAAGUGUCACACACAUCUUAUCUUUAAGUAGAAUCCAUAAAAAAAAAGAAACAAAUCUUCAUGGAUUCCACAUGUAUCUACUGAGCAAACGUUAUUCUAGGCAGACAGGUUUCAGCAAUGAGAAAUCUAAUUCUCAUACAACUUAUAUUCUAUUGGUGGAUACAGAAAAUAAACAAAUACAUUUAUAAAUGCAAUUUGAUUUUACUUUAACAUAAAAAUUAUGCUUUUAAAUUCCAUCCCCAGUUUUGUUUUAAACUGAAAUGAUUGAAAACUCAAAUUAACACAUUUCUAUAGUAAUAAUUUCUCCAUGCUGGAGAAAUGCACACAGGGAAGGGAGUAUCCUUAGAAAUACUUACCUGAAUAUUACACCCCUGGGGGGUUCAUAGUUUCCUGACACCACUUUUAUUUAUGUUCUGAUAAAGUAAUGUAUUUCAGUUUAUACAGAAUUGCAGUCUAUUUAUGAUUCAUAAAUAUUUAUUAAUUUCAACAAUGUUAUGACCUUUCUCGGCACAAGUGGGAUGAUUUCAGAGCCUACCUGAAGAAAGUCCUGCCCUAUAAUGAUGGAUGAGAUGUCAAACAUCCCUUGUAUCAGAGACUCCUACAGAAUCAUGGCAAUGUGAAAAGACCAAUGGCAGCCUUUUCCUGGGAGAAAGUUUUAAUUAAGAAGAUGGAGGGAGGCAUGGAUAUGGUGCCCACCCCCUCAUUCUCUGCAGUAGUUAAGGAGGCAGAGUGCAGUCAUGGGUAGACUGGGAAGACCCUGCCUAAGAAUCUGAUUUAACCUGUGGUGCAGAAAAGCACUAAUUUUGAUGUUGGGAGGAUUUUGUGCACCCAGCAAGGAGCAGAGCACUCUGCUGACUGCCGUAAUAUAGGUAACAGACCUUAUUUGGUGCAUGUGUCACUAGGCCGCCCAUGUGAUGAGAAAGAUAUGAUGCCAUAGAGAACUGAUCUACUCUAAAUAAUAAGGCCCUGAAAACCAUCAUUCUACUCUUGAUAGAUAACUAGAUAAAAGAAAAUAUGGUAUAUACACACAAUGACAUAGCAUUCAACCUUUAAAAGAAGAAAAUCUUGCCAUAGACAACACUAUGGAUAAACGGAAGGAUAUUAGGCUGAGUGAAAUAAGCCAAUCAGAGGAGGUAAAUACUCAUAAAUCCACUUAUAUGAGGUAGCUGAAAUAGUCAAAAUCAAAUGUUUAUGUAAAUUCUGAAGGUAAGAUGACCCUGUGAGGCUGGAAGACUUGCUUGAGUAUCAGGUUUUGUUAAGUUUAGCAGAGCUCAACAUGGUGCCAAGUGCUGUUAGUUCUACCGAAGGAUAAGAUAUAAACUCUAUUAUCAAGUUGGAUACAAACAGAACAAUAGAGAAUGGAAAACAGUCAGAGUCUAUUUAAGUGCUAGCUAUGUAAAACUGAAGUUUUAUGAAGAGGAGAUUUUAAAAAGCAGGAGAAUCAAUGAAGACUUAGGAAGGCUUUUUAUAGUAGGAAUUUAAUUACUCCAUAAUGAGCAGAGAUUGGGUAAGGAAAGGUGCAUAGACUAGGCAUUUCAAGGCAGGGUAAAAGCUUGAGAGAAUAUAUGUGUGGAAGCAUCUUAGCGUCAUAAAAAAAAUCACAACACUAAGAAAAUGAGAACUUUGUAAACAGAUAAAAGUCUGUGUUCUUAUUAGGGCAGAUAAAAUGGAAUCAUUGCUAAAUAUCUUAUUACUGAUUAAAAAGAGUUUAGAUUCACCAUCAGAAGAAACGUUGAGUCACUGAUAGAUUUUGAGUCAAGAGAUGCCUUGUCAGAAAUUAUCUAUCUCUAUCAUCAUUCCUUAUCAAUGUGUGGGUUGUAAUUCAUAUAGACUCCAGCAGUAAUUUGAUAGAAUUAUAUCAUCUUCACUUCCUUGUAUGGCUAAUUUGUUUCGUCAAACAGGUCAACAUAUGUCUUAAAUUUACAUAUUCAGAUUUUUUAAUCAUAAAAUAUCUUUGUUACUUUGAACACCUUGCAACAACAAACUGCAUUCGUUUAAAGACAGGAAUUCCCCAUAUGUCUGAGGAAAUAUUUCUCAGAGACCUCCAAAAGUUAUGCAUUAUGCUUGCAUCAAGCUUAAUGUUUACAUUAAGCCUACUUGAACAAUUGAAAUAGUGUCUGUUAACAGUUUUGAAGUAACGAAGUUAUAGCAAUUUCUAACAUAAAUGAGUAGUGAAAGAGAAAAUAUUAAAUGAAUUAUAAAGAUGGGGCUUAUUACAGGAGAGAACUAUGGAAAAAAUGGAUAUUCAGAUAGUAUAGACUAGGUUCAUUGUCUACUUUGAGGAGACAUGGAACACCACCCACAGAGGGCAGGGUGCAUUAAGCCAUCAAAUAUACUAAGGUCUAGGAAUAUUGUUUUGGAAUCUGUGUCAUCCGCCUCAGAAAGGUUGGCAAAGACAUUCGUAGAUAAUACAGAGCCUUGGAAUAAAAGCAAACCCUGAAGAAAGAAAAUAAGCCCUCAGCUGCAAUAAUGCCAGUACCAUUUUUAUGCACACACACACACACACACACACACACACACAGCGCCACACAUACACAAACACAUACACACAUUCGAGAGAGAGGGAGAGAAAAUACGAGAGGCAGUGAGAGAGAAAUAAGAUAUAAUACAAAUAAUAGACUUUUGCCAUGUAAGAAGUUUGCAUUUUCUUUGGAAGGAAAUGAAUAUUUACUGUGUAGCAGUGUUUGCCUAGUUAAUUUAGGAUGAAAAGAGCUUUGAUUAUGAGCGGUAAAAAAAAAAAAAUUAACUCUGUUUUGACUUGUCACUCCUUAUUUCACAGGACCAGAAUUCAAAUGUUGCCCAAGCAAUGCUAGCCUUGGCUUAGAAAAGGCCCUAUUAACAUCUGGCUAAGCAAAGAUAACUAUGUGUACUAAUUAUAAGAAGUGCAAAAAUAUCCAGAUUCUUAACUUGUUGUGUGAACUGAUGUUUCACAAGGGAGGAUGAUUGAAACAUUAAAUCAAAUAGGGGUGGGAAAAUAGCUUUGAAGAGGAAUUACGUGAGAAUUCAAAUGGUGUAGUAAAUUCAUUAUGGUGUAGUAAGGGUCUUCUCUGAAAAGCUACGCUGCUCUAAGCACAUUUGAAUGACAGGCAAUAUUUACAAAGAGAAAGCCAAAUGACCAAAGCCAGGUUCAGAACCAUUUGCAUUUCCAUGGACAAAAAAAAUAAAAUAAAAUAAAAAACAAGGAAAGGAGUGGAGUAUUGUUUUGAGGAGUAACAAGAAUAAAUAUUGUCCAAAGGAGGCUGAUAUUGGGUCCACUAAGCUCUCCGGAAACUUCUGUGAAAAUGAGAAAAAAUUUCUACCCUUAAAUGUAAGUUUGAUUAAGGGCUAGGUUGGUAGUAUCUUUUAUAAAUUUUUUAAAAUUCCUUUCUGUGUACUUAUAUGGCUACAAAAUACACAGUUGUUUGGUGUUUACAGGUUCCUGCUAGGGGAAAAAUAUAUUACUGCACCCAACUUGGCAUUCAGGUUUAUGAGGAAUACAUACUAGUGAGAAAGAGAACAAAGCCACAACAUGCUAAUCCGGACCUGAGCAAAGCUGCCUGCUGCCUCUGGACUGGUACUUUAAUGUUUCUAACAUGAGCAUGAGAAGGGUAGCCACAACUUGUCAUUGUAAGACCUGGCUCUAGACAGAAGACUGGGGCAAGUAUCCAACAACCACAGAAUCACUAGAUAAGUAGCCAUUAACCAGAUGGAGAAAGAGCAUUCAAAGUAAAAAUAAUAAACAUUCUAUAAAAAUAAAUAAAAUAUAUUGGUAAUUUUAAUAAGUUACUGGCUAUAAAGGCUAUUAUGUGUGGUUUAAAAUAAAAGUGAAUUUAAAAUUCAGGUAAAGAAUAUCACAUUGGUUGGAGGGGAGUGACCAAUAGGUAGUUGAUGCUUGCAAAAUUCCUUGUGCCCUGAAAAUUUAAAGACAUCCUUCAGAAAAAAAAGUGAAUGUAAUUUGAAGUUUCUAAAUCAGGAAAGAUAAAGAAAUAAAAAGUAGAAAACCUUAUGUAUUCAAGCACUGACCAAGUGAAGGAUGGAAAGGGUGGGAAGAAAGUGAAACACAAGGGCUGGGAGCGGUGGCUCAUGCCUGUCAUCCCAGCGCUUUGGGAGGCUGAGGCAGGUAGAUCACCUGAGGUCAGGAGCUUGAGGCCAUCCUUGCCAACAUAGUGAAACCCUGUCUCUACUAAAAAUACAAAAAUUAACCAGGCAUGUUGGUGCACGCCUGUAAUCCCAGCUACUCGGGAAGCUGAGGCAGGAGAAUCACUUGAACCUGGGAGGUGGAGCUUGUAGUGAGCCGAAAUCACACCAUUGCACUCCAGCCUGAGUGACAGAGUGAGAUUCCAUCUCAAAAAAAAAAAAAA